GAGCAGGCCGAGCGCUACGAGGAGAUGGUUGAGUUUAUGGAGAAGGUUUCCGCCUCCGUCGAAAAGGAGGAGCUCACUGUCGAGGAGCGGAAUCUCCUCUCUGUUGCUUAUAAGAACGUCAUCGGAGCUCGACGCGCUUCCUGGCGUAUUAUUUCCUCCAUCGAGCAGAAGGAGGAGAGCCGCGGCAAUGAGAACCACGUUUCCAUGAUCCGGGACUAUAGGGCCAAGAUCGAGUCCGAGCUCUCCUCGAUCUGCGACGGGAUCUUGAAGUUGCUUGACACGAGGUUGAUUCCCUCUGCUUCUCCUGGGGAUUCUAAGGUGUUUUACUUGAAGAUGAAGGGAGAUUACCAUAGGUA
rnacentral:misc_RNA from 1 species